rnacentral:lncRNA from 1 species
AAGCGGAAACAGACUGUCUGGGCCGCUGUUAAAAUGUCAGCAGCCAAGGAAGAAGCAGCGACCUGGCGUCUGCUCGGGCCAGGGUCGAUAAAGACAGGAGUGGAGUGAUAUCAGACACCGAGCUUCAGCAAGCUCUCUCCAACGGCACGUGGACUCCCUUUAAUCCAGUGACUGUCAGGUCGAUCAUAUACUACACUGAAGGCUGGUUACGCUCUUAUGUGCAAUAGAACCUCAAACACAUCGUAACACACCUUUGGAGAAUCCUUACAAGAACACCAAGUUAACAGUUAUCUCUGACCACACUACCUCAGCAAAAAACCAGGAAGAAAAAAUAUUCUUCAACCCUUUUCAGGGACAGAAAGCAUCAUUUCAAAAGUCCAAGAAGGGAAGCAAAACUUCUGACCUGAGACAUCGAAGCAGAUAAAAAGCCGCUACACAAAAUGUAUCGCUACAACUAGAGGGCAGUCUUGCCUUUCUUCCAUUCAAUUAUUCAGUUUCUCAUGUUCCUAAGUGCCAGCCCAGAACCAUGGAAUGUGAAGAAACACAAAACUCACUCCUCUGCAUCAGUGAAUUGAUUGUGUGGUGGGGAUGUAAGUCUGCAUGUGACUGACAGUUCCCCAAAGUGGUGCCAAGUCAAUCUAAACUAGAGAGAAUUUCUGGCCAGGCCAAGCAGAGAUUUCAUGGAUGAAGUCUCCCAAAGACUGAUUUCCUAAACAUUAAAC